GAAUUAAAUUUUAGUCGUUCAUGUAGUAUUCCGCGGAAUUCCGGUGUUUUGAGUCGCUGAAAAAUUGAUUAUAAACUUGAAUAGUUGGUUAACAACUGCAUGCAAUGCAUGUAAAUGUGGAAAUUUCGAGUUCUGCGGGUGAGAGUCACCCACCACCGACGGUCUACCGAUGAAAAAGAGGAUGUGCCACGGUGUUGCCGUUUGACGGUGACGGUUGUAUUCUUGUAACUAUAACUCCGGAAAAAAUGUUAGAAAAUUCCUAAAAAUAAAGUGCAGCAGCCGGUACAGAACCGAAGGAAGCUGCCGAAGUUUCUGAUAGGCGGCCGACAUUCAGCUACUUAAAGGCGUGCAAAAUACAGUCGUCCAACUGGUUGCCCUCGUUCAGCACUGUAGUUUUGUCUUCAUAGAUCCAACAGCGUGGAAAUCUCUCCAGUUGGUUCCGUUCCCAGUAUCUGCCGGAUGAAUUCGAUCGGGAUCUCUUGAUUGAAAGCGGUGCCCAUAAGUGGACUCCGUAUCAUCGGCCAACAUUUUGCAGUUUUUCCCGCAGCAUCAAACGAGAGCAGACGAGCAACCUUAGGCAAACCUACUUCUACGGAGCCAACAUUCCAAGAUGGUAACGAUGGCAGUGCUGGCAUCUUUUGAUCCGGAUAAUGAGUAAUCCCCCAUCCCAUCGUACUUCGGACAUUAGGCUUUUUUCCGCUGCAGUUACCUGAUCCUAAAACGUGCUGAUUUAAACAAAUGAUUUAUAUUAUUGCGAAAAUGUAAUUAAAAUACAUAAUAAUGUAUA